GGGUGGGCGGGGCCGAGCGCUCUGCUGGGACUCGGGCGAGCCGCAGCCUAGAGGAGGGCAAAGCCCGAGCUGGGCAGGAGGCGACGCCAGGGCAGCUGGAGGAGAGACCUCCCCGCCGGGGCGCUGCCCACCUCGUGUCUCCGGGCUCCUCGAGGAAGCAUGCCACUCAUCCUGUCAUAACUUCAGGAGAGACUGCACUUUGGAGACUGCGCUGUUGGCUUGUGGCAGAGGGAACAACAGAACACUCGUCGCUUCCUCUGAUCCAGCAAUGCACGCAGAGAACAGGAUAGCCCGAAAGAUGAACACCAUUUGA
rnacentral:lncRNA from 1 species